AAUAAAUUAGUAUAUAAAUAUAUUUGAUUUCCAAUCAAAAGUAGAUAAAAAUGUUUAUUU
rnacentral:tRNA from 1 species